rnacentral:rRNA from 1 species
UACAGAGGUCUCAAGCGUUGUUCGGAUUCAUUGGGCGUAAAGGGUGCGUAGGCGGCGAGGUAAGUCGGAUGUGAAAUCCCGGGGCUCAACCCCGGAACUGCAUUCGAUACUGCUUUGCUUGAGUACUGGAGAGGAGACUGGAAUUUACGGUGUAGCAGUGAAAUGCGUAGAUAUCGUAAGGAAGACCAGUGGCGAAGGCGGGUCUCUGGACAGUUCCUGACGCUGAGGCAACGAAGGCCAGGGGAGCAAACGGG